UGCUUCGUGGUGAAAUGGUAACACAAACGGCUUUGAACCGUUCAUUUUCUAGGUUCGAACCCUAGCGAGGCAACCA
rnacentral:tRNA from 1 species